UACAGAGGUCUCAAGCGUUGUUCGGAUUCAUUGGGCGUAAAGGGUGCGUAGGUGGCGAGGCAAGUCAGAUGUGAAAUCCCGGGGCUCAACCCCGGAACUGCAUUUGAAACUGCCUUGCUCGAGUACUGGAGAGGAGACUGGAAUUUACGGUGUAGCAGUGAAAUGCGUAGAUAUCGUAAGGAAGACCAGUGGUGAAGGCGGGUCUCUGGACAGUUCCUGACGCUGAGGCACGAAGGUCAGGGGAGCAAACGGG
rnacentral:rRNA from 1 species